UUAAGGUAUCAUUUUUCUAUGGAGAUUGUGGUGCAAGAAAAUUUCUAUAGGAGAGGUUCUCAUCAGAAAAAAGUUGAGAGGAGAAAAGGGAAGAAAGUAAGGGUUGAGAAAAACAAAAAGAAAGAAAUAAAAAAUAAAAAUCAAAGUAAAAUAAAAAAAAGAAAUUAGAAGUUGAAAGAUAAAUAAGCAUGAAAAGUUGUUUAAAGUUAUUUGAGGUAUAUGGGGAAAAUAGGUAAAAGUCCUACACAUAAAAAAGAAGUAAGAAUAGUUUUAUAGGACUUUUCUUACAGACAACAGAAAAGCAAAGCCACCCACUAUGAGAGCCAUUUAUAUAGUUUACCCUAUAUACAUAGACCGGGUUCAAAAGUGUCCCGGCCCAAGAAAUAAAAAACUAAUGAUAAACAAAAAAAACCCCAAAGAUCAAUUAGGAAAGUUGAGUUGAAUUUAGAGAAAAAUCGAGAAGCCCCUUCUUCAUGAGAAACCUCUUCAUCUUCUCCAAUUGUUGUCACAUUUAUGCAAAUCCACAACUUCAUAGGGUUUGUUGUUAUUGUCUUAGAGAACAUCUCAUCAUUUUUAGCUCCCAGUAGCCAUGAGCAAGUUCAGAUUUUCCCUUCAAUCUUCAACAAAUUGGACACCAUGACUGCAAAUUAUGAUGCUCUUCUUAUUUUCUUUAAUGUUCCUCUGAUGCCACAACGAAGUUUGACACCCAUCAGCCUUUCAAGUAGUUUAUAUCAGCUUAUAUCUAAGUUGACCUUUGGAACCGAACUCCAAAAAGCUAAAAGAUAAGUGGAUUUUUUGUCACUUCCGAUCAUGUAUUUCAUUUUUAUCUAACUACCAGUGGGUGGAUUCUCAAAUGAAAAUAAAAUCACUACCUAGUCUUUAAACAAGAUAUGUAAUUUAUUGUCUUUAAUGAUUCUUUCUAUUUAUUGAUCAUGUAAGAUUCAGAUACAGGAAAACACAAAUUUAACUGCAAUGAGACAGAUUCUAAGUCAUGCAGUCCUUAAUUUUAAGGCUGAUAUACACCUCAAUUGCUCUCACUAGUCUACAGAUCAUAGUAAGAGUUUUUACUAUUGGUGUGUGCAUCAUGUGGAGCAGCUAUGGAUCAAAGAUUUGAGGUGAGUUUCUGACAUUUGAAGCAUUACUACGCUAUCUCUUAUGGACUAAACUGAUCUCUAUGUUGUAUUCAUAGACGGGUUGUAUAUGUUUAUUUAUUUAGUAUUUAACUCUAUACUCAUAUUGUAUUAUAAA